UACAGAGGGUGCAAGCGUUGCUCGGAAUCAUUGGGCGUAAAGGGUAGGUAGGUGGUCUCAUUUGUCUGGGGUGAAAGCCCAGGGCUUAACCCUGGAAGUGCCCCGGAAACGGUGAGACUGGAGUAUUGGAGAGGGUCGUGGAAUUCCCGGUGUAGUGGUGAAAUGCGUAGAGAUCGGGAGGAACACCUGUGGCGAAGGCGGCCGACUGGGCCGUCCCUGACGCUGAGGCGCGAAAGCGUGGGGAGCGAACCGG
rnacentral:rRNA from 1 species